UACGUAGGGUGCGAGCGUUGUUCGGAAUUACUGGGCGUAAAGGGCGCGUAGGCGGCCUUCUAAGUCGAACGUGAAAUCCCCGGGCUCAACCCGGGAACUGCGUCCGAUACUGGAAGGCUUGAAUCCGGGAGAGGGAUGCGGAAUUCCAGGUGUAGCGGUGAAAUGCGUAGAUACAUGGAGGAACACCGGUGGCGAAAGCGGCUUUCUACUUUUUACCU
rnacentral:rRNA from 1 species